GCUAGUUUGGCAGAAAAGUGUGAUGAAUUUAGGAUUCCUUUAUAUGUCCAUUAUGUACAUAACUGGUA
rnacentral:tRNA from 1 species